CCCGCUGCCUGCUUUCCCAGUUCAUCUCACCUACUCUACACACACGAGUCAGGUGUGUGGCUGCGGCUCUAUUAACGUUGAAUUCCAGCAAAGGAGACAGAAAUUAUUGAGGGACAGGUAGAGCAGGGCCAUUCAGAUGUACAGUGUCAGAAAGCAAAUUCAGACAGCGGUUGCCUGGAUCAACACCCAGUACUGGGAUGCCUGGAACCUGUGUGACGAGGUGAUCGACUGGGGAGACGGUGUGGAGGAGUGCUCACGAGCGACACCCCCACUGUCCAGGAUGGGGGGGAUAAGGAGGGAUUGGGAAGGGCUACUUGGGAAAAUGUGGAGGUAUCAGAAAGGGGCGUCCAAUGGUGAGAUGGAGGGGGCGGAGGCUGGUAUGAAUGGAAUGCAUAUGAUAAAUGGAGGUGAGGAGAAUGGAUGUGAGGUAGGAGUGAAUGUGGAGGAGGUUAAGGGAGAAGGAGAGAAAAGUAGAGGGAAUGCUUUGGGAUCUAUUGUGUCACAAGGAGGCAGAUCAUGGCUGGAAACCAUUCAGGAAGAAGGAUGUGAGGAAGAAGAAGAAACUGAGGUGGCGUUUCAGGAGGCACAAGACGCUGAGGUUGCCCAGUUGGACAGAUGGUGUCCAUGUGGCUGGUGUAAGGUGGGGUAGGAGGCUUCUGAACCAUGUGUUAGGCCUAGUGCACUUAUGGAUUGUGCUUGUUUGUUAUAAUGAAAUAAGCUUAUAAACUAAACAUAAUAUAUUUUAAAGGUACGUGUUUAUAUCAGUGUAAAAAGGGAAGGGGUUUCUCUAUGACUUGGGUUGGUAGUAGCAUUUGGGGGGUCAAGGAGUCCGAUGUUAGUGGUUUAUGGUAGUGUAUUGUGUGUUGAAGUUUAUUGAAUUGGCGGACUACACAUCCCAUCAUCCCCUGCGCACCACAAAAUAAUAGUCCAUGCUUAGUGUGCUGUUUGGUUUAUUUCUUUCUUUAUUCAAGGCAAUAACUUAGAGCUGUGAGGUACCCACUGUUCUAGUUUUAUCCAUCGGCCAUGGUAAAGGGAGAACUUGGGUAAAUCAGCAGAAGUCUCUCACCAACUUCCACCCCGGUUGCUGUUUCCUCUGGUCCCUCGGCAUAUGGGUUCCCUGCGGAAGCGCGCGCCGUCUGGGGAAGGUUCCCUUAUAGCCCAGGGUGGAACAGGGGAAGGUGAAGGUUUGGCACAAAAGGGGGGGGGGGAAAUAGGUGAGAAAGGUUGUUUGUUCUUGCUUUUGUUGUGUGAGGUGGGAUGUUCUGCGUGAAAGAGCAGGGGACGGUAAUGCUUAAGGGCCAGCUAUUAUGAUGUGUUCCAUGUUAAAUGUAUGUGUUGUAAUGUAUGUUGUUAGUACAUGAAACUCCAACUGGUUUCCCCUUGUCGUUGGGCUGUCCCAAUUAGUUUAAUGGGAAGCCGUAUAUAAGGGCAGGGGAUUAGAGUAAAAAGGGUGGUUGGUGGUCUUUCUUUUUGUCUAAUUGUUGUUUGUUUUUAUUUAUUUAUUUAUUUUUGUUCUUUGUGUCAUGCUGUGGCCUGUGUGGAUUAUGGGCAUGUCAAGGCCAAGAGAGAGGGGUAACAGCUUGAGGUGAGGCUGGAAAGGCCCCAUGAAAUAAAGCUACCUUUGUUCUGAGGCCUACUGCGUUUGUGCCUGGUUUCUCACCACUCGCAUGCGGGGUUGUUUGCAUUCCCUCAACUCAAUAAGGCAGGGCCUGUCCAGCUCUUGCCUUUUUCACAUUCAGUAUCUACAUGUAAAGGGAGCAGACACAGGAAAAAGGUAUUGAAGACCCUUGAUAUGAUAUUGCUGUUUUUGUUUUAGAUUCCAAAGUUAACCCAUUAUUUAAUUUAUCCCUUUUCCCCAAGUAGAACGCUGCAUUUAGUUGUAAUCUGUAUUAUUUUGCUUUGGAGUCGGAAGUUCCAAAAUCACCAGGAAGGUUAAUCGACUGUAUGUGUUUUAACUACUAGAAAGAUGUAAAUGAUAAGCCUUAAGAUUUAUUUAAAAUUAAUUUAUUGUUUUUUUGUAAAUUAAAAACAGGAACCCUCAUGGACCAAGACUUGAGGGCAUUUGUACCAUCCACCUGUACAACUUUAACUGGUUCUGCAGCCUUUUUCUCCCCACAGCCUCUGCUUGUUCCCUUCUUCUCUUUCUGUCUUCCCUCCAGGAGAGCUCCUCAGGCAUCUCCAGCCUGUAAUUCCUGGGAAAUGCCACCUGCCACCCAUCCUUGGAAGCGUCGCCCAGUCUCAGGAUCUCAUACGUCACCAUUCAUCACAGAGUCACAGCGCUUGCAGACAUCUGGUAUGGAUUAAGGCACAGCCAGCCUGGAUUAAGGCAUCACCAGCCUGGCAUCAGACUCUCCGGACAAUGCCAGCCCAGAGGGGGCUGACCUGGAGGACAUUCCCCCGGAGGACAUGGAGUGGGAGCCUCCAGGUCUUGCCCUGAGUCCCACUCCGUGCUGUCAGCUCCGUGGCCAAAGUUUCCCCAGCCGAGGAGGCUAUCGCCACGACAACGGCAGGGUCAACGGAAAUCCAGUUGUGGGCUGAGGUCCAGGAGGAAAAAACGAGGUUAUGCUACCCAGACCUGCCUCCUGAUCCAGGCUUGGUCCAAGAUGGUCUUUCAGGGUAUCCCAUCCAAUGGUUCCCAAAAGGAACCACAUCCAGUCUCCUCAUGGCGCUGGUACUGGCCUGUGUUUUUGUUUUGCAGGGUCCCUGGCGUGGUCCAGUUCCUGUCCUGCCUGCCCCUCGACACCCUCCGACUCUGCCAACCCCUCGCCGUCUACCGAUGCUGUUCUUCCCUCGGCUGCCGCAGACGAGUGGAGCUUCUACAGACCCAGACAGGAUUCCAAAGGCCCCCCUGGCCGUGACCCUUCUGCGGCACCCCGGAGCCCAUCAGAGGCCCUGAACUGUUCACUUUACCUCCCAUGCUACCUAGUGUCUUGUCCCUCCUAAUACCUCAGUCUUUGGUCUGUAGUCUUGCUUCCCCGUGGCUCUCCCUGGUUUCACCUCUUAGCCCGAUUUCACUGUUCCAGCCCCCACUCCAGUCACUCUUGCUUCCCGCUUUAGGUUCCCCUCUCCUGGCCAUAUUAUUGUUGCACUGGUUCCAUUGCUUGCCUGUCUUGUCUGGUUGUGUCCUGCCUUGUCUGUCCCUGUGUCGUCUUUGGUCCUUUUGAUGCCCAAUCCCUCCCUUUUGUCUCCUUCUACUGUGUCCUUUGUUCCCACUUACCCACUGACACCCACUGUCUGUCUUUUGGUCCAUAGUCAGCAUCCCUGUUGGAUUACCUGGUCUGUCAUGAGUUGUGUCCUGUUGUCCUUGGUUUUGCCCUGGUCUGUGUGUCCCCUUAAUGAUGCCCUUGUACCCGGAGGGCACAGGAUUGGGAGGGGGGCGUUUACUGUCAUGUCUUGCCCAUUUAGUCAACCUUACCCUCCAGUUCUCCUCCCUGAUGAGCCACGCUUGGUGUCUAUUAGUCUCACCCCAUGUUCCUCCCCUUCUGUCAGUCACUCAGCUUCCUUGUGUUUUCCCAUUCCUUAGUCUGGUAAAAUGCCCAGUCCUAUCUUCUCCAGUUGUCUCCUUGUCUGUUUGCGUCUCUGUGCCCAAACCUGCCUGUCAAUAAAACCCC